rnacentral:rRNA from 1 species
CUACGGGCGGCAGCAGUGAGGAAUAUUGCACAAUGGGGGGAACCCUGAUGCAGCAACGCCGCGUGGAGGAUGACGCAUUUCGGUGUGUAAACUCCUUUUAUAUGUCAAGAAAAUGACGGUAGCAUAUGAAUAAGCACCGGCUAACUCCGUGCCAGCAGCCGCGGUAAUACGGAGGGUCAAGCGUUACUCGGAAUCACUGGGCGUAAAGGACGCGUAGGCGGGUUGGAAAGUCAGGUGUGAAAUCCUACAGCUUAACUGUAGAACUGCACUUGAAACUUCUAAUCUAGAGUAUGGGAGGGGGAGAUGGAAUUAGUGGUGUAGGGGUAAAAUCCGUAGAUAUCACUAGGAAUACCUAAAGCGAAGGCGAUCUCCUGGAACAUUACUGACGCUAAGGCGUGAAAGCGUGGGGAGCAAACAGGAUAGAUACCCCGUAGUC